rnacentral:tRNA from 1 species
GGUGGCUCAGUGGUAGAGCGCUUGCCUGGCAUGCUUGAGGCUCUGGGUUCAAUUCCUCAGCACCA